rnacentral:misc_RNA from 1 species
AAAAAGUUUUUCUAACCUCAAAUAAAUCAAAAUAAAUUAAAGUUGAACUGUUGAACGAUUAACGAAAACACACACAAUUAAUUUAACAAUUUAAAAACAAAUUUUAUGGUGUGUUUUAUAUAAAUAAAUAAGAAAAAUGUCUGGAAAUAGAGUUGAUAAUCGUGAUAAUCGUGAUAGAUAUCGUGGAAGAAAAGAAGGUGGUGGACGUGGUGGUGGUGGUGGUGGUGAUGAUGAAAGACGUAAUCGAAAUCGUGGUCGUCAAGAUGACAGAUAUCGUGGUGAUAAAAGAGAAAGAUCACCAAGAAGACGUGAAAGAACACGUAGUAGAUCACCAAAAUAUAAUAAAAAUUAUAACAAUGAUAAUAGACAUGAACAACAACAACAUCAACAAUAUAAUCGCAAUGAUAACAAUGAACGUAAAUAUAGAAAUAAUAAUAAUGAUAAUCAUUCACGUAAAUUUAAUUUUAAUGAUAAAAAUCAAAAACAUGAAAAGUCACCAGUAUGGGGUAAAAAAAAUAUAAAGGAAGAUAAUGAAAAAAAUGAUAAAGAAAAAGAUGCACCAAAUUUUGGUUUAUCUGGUAAAUUAACUGAGGAUACAAAUACAGUUAAUGGUGUUGUUAUAAAAUAUUCAGAACCACAAGAUUCACGUAAACCAAAAAGAAGAUGGAGAUUAUAUCCAUUUAAAGGUGAAAAAGCAUUACCAACAUUAUAUGUACAUCGUCAAUCAGCAUUUUUAAUGGGACGUGAUAGAAAAAUUGCUGAUAUACCACUUGAUCAUCCAUCAUGUUCAAAACAACAUGCUGCAUUACAAUAUAGACUUGUACCAUUUAAACGUGAUAAUGGAGGUGAUGGUAAACGUGUUAGACCAUAUAUUAUUGAUCUUGAAUCAGCAAAUGGUACAUUUGUUAAUAAUGUUAAAUUAGAACCAAGAAGAUAUCAUGAAUUGCUAGAAAAAGAUGUUAUUAAAUUUGGAUUUAGCUCAAGGGAAUAUGUAUUACUACAUGAACAUAGUAAAGAUGAUGAACUUGAUGAUGAUGUUAUUGCAACAAGUGAAACAGCUACUGAAAUUCAGGAAGCAACAUGAUUCUCAUAAAAUAAUUGUACUUGAUUUUUCGAAUCGAUUACACAGUGGGAACGAAAAAAAUCAAGUCUGGUAUGGUUUAAUUAAUUGGCUUUAUAUUAAAAACAAAUAAAAGGAUUUUGUUGAUGAAAUUUCGAGUAUAUUUUUACAGGUAACUGUUGUAAUUUUUAGAUACCUGUAAAAUUAUUAUCAUAUUGAAAUUACAAAAGUAAAAC